rnacentral:rRNA from 1 species
AUUGAACGCUGGCGGCAGGCUUAACACAUGCAAGUCGAGCGGAGAUGAGGUGCUUGCACCUUAUCUUAGCGGCGGACGGGUGGGUAAUGCUUAGGAAUCUGCCUAUUAGUGGGGGACAACAUUCCGAAAGGAAUGCUAAUACCGCAUACGUCCUACGGGAGAAAGCAGGGGAUCUUCGGACCUUGCGCUAAUAGAUGAGCCUAAGUCGGAUUAGCUAGUUGGUGGGGUAAAGGCCUACCAAGGCGACGAUCUGUAGCGGGUCUGCGAGGAUGAGCUGACCCACUGGGAAUGAGACACGGCACAGAUUCCCACGGGAGGCAGCUGUGGGGAAUAUUGGACAAUGGGGGGAACCCUGAUCCAGCCAUGCCGCGUCUGUGACGAAGGCCUUAUGGUUGUAAAUCACUUUAAGCGAGGAGGAGGCUACUGAGACUAAUACUCUUGGAUAGUGGACGUUACUCGCAGAAUAAGCACCGGCUAAGUCUGUGCCAGCAGCCGCAGUAA